AACGAACGCUGGCGGCGUGCCUAACACAUGCAAGUCGAGCGAGAAAGCCCGCAAGGGUGAGUAAAGCGGCGCACGGGUGCGUAACACGUGGGUAAUCUGCCCUGAAGUCUGGAAUAACUCGCCGAAAGGCGUGCUAAUGCCAGAUGAGACCACGGGAGCUUCGGCUCCUGCGGGAAAAGGUGGCCUCUGUACACAAGCUAUCGCUUCAGGAUGAGCCCGCGGCCCAUCAGCUCGUUGGCGGGGUAAUGGCCCACCAAGGCUACGACGGGUAGCUGGUCUGAGAGGACGAUCAGCCACACUGGAACUGAGACACGGUCCAGACGCCUACGGGAGGCAGCAGUGGGGAAUCUUGCGCAAUGGGCGAAAGCCUGACGCAGCAACGCCGCGUGUGUGAUGAAGGUCUUCGGAUCGUAAAGCACUGUCGCGAGGGACGAAUAAGGGGCGGGCUAACAUCCCGUUCUGAUGACGGUACCUCGAGAGGAAGCACCGGCUAACUCUGUGCCAGCCGCCGCCGUAAGAC
rnacentral:rRNA from 1 species